rnacentral:lncRNA from 1 species
CCUGAAGGGCACCGAGAGGUAUAUGAAUAGCUGCAGUGCAAAAGAGCAGCAUAAAUAGCAUGAUUUGGAGAGGGAGAUAAUUGUUCCCCCUGUGGGGACCUGCACAUUUGGAGACCAUGGGACUGCUUGCAGCAAGCUGCUUGUAACAAGCAAGGAACAUUCAAGAGAAAUACCCAGUAGUAUAACUCAAUUGGUGCAUACAGUGCAUGAAGCAGAUGAAGGAUUUACAAGAUGCCAGCCCUGUUGAUGAAGAUGUGGAAUGCCAAGGCAAGAAUGCUGGCAUGAUGAACUUUGGGUCUGACUCAAGAUGAAAACUCCUAAAUUCACAAAAAUGUAAUGAUAUGGUAGGUAUUUUAUAUUGUGUAAAGCAACGAAUUUUCAACCCAGAAUCCUGGGAAAGAUCCCAUUUCUAGGUACUGUACGUAAGAAUCUUACAGCUGGGGUUGGAAUCUCAAAGAAAAAAGACUAGGGGUUUUUAAUCUAGUGUGAAAAAUGCUUCAAAUGUUACAAUAUAUGUUAUACAUGAAAAACACAUACUUAUUUGAAAUUUUAAAUAACAUUAAAGAAAGACUUCAGAUUUUCAUAUUUAACUAGUAGCACUUUGUUUUAUGAGUCAUUAUGCUUGAAUUGACUCUUUUGGCAUUGAUGCCUGCAUUCUUCAAAGCUUCCUUAAUCAGCAGAAUUUCAGAAUGGAAUUAAUUCUUAAUUAUCUGCAGUAAUGGAGCGCAUAAACAAAAUAGAAAACAAAAUAGUACCAGCAAAAGUAAGUAAUAUUAUAUAAAAAGGAAUUGUUACUCAAAAUGUAUCAAAUAUC